rnacentral:misc_RNA from 1 species
AAGUCGUAACAAGGUUUCCGUAGGUGAACCUGCGGAAGGAUCAUUAACACUUUAUUUGUAUUUUUUUUUUAAAAGUAUUAUUUUUAAAUAGUAUUUUUUAAAUAAAAAAACAAAACAAAACCCCACAAUUUUGGAUGAAUUUAAUUUAAUUUUUACUUUUUUAUUUAAAACUCUAUAUAAAUUUGAUUGACUAACAUUUAUUAUUAUUAUUUUAUUAAAUUAAAAAAACAACUCUUAACAACGGAUAUCUUGGCUCUC